rnacentral:pre_miRNA from 1 species
UAACUACUCCAUCCGUUCUGAAUUACUUGUCGCAGGUAUGGAUGUAUCUAGAUGUAUUUUAGUUCUAGAUACAUCCAUUUCUGCGAUGAGUAAUUUGGAACGGAGGGAGUAUAAG